rnacentral:rRNA from 1 species
GACGGAGGGUGCUAGCGUUAUUCGGAAUUAUUGGGCGUAAAGCGUGCGUAGGCGGUUUAGUAAGUUGGUUAUGAAAGCCCAGGGCUCAACCCUGGAACUGUGAUCAAAACUGCUAGGCUAGAGGAUGGUAUGCGGUGACGGAAUUUCUAGUGUAGGGGUAAUAUCCGUAGAUAUUAGAAAGAACACCAGAGGCGAAGGCGGUUACCUAGACCAUAUCUGACGCUGAGGUGCGAAAGUGUGGGGAGCAAACAGG